UACGGAGGAUCCAAGCGUUAUCCGGAUUUAUUGGGUUUAAAGGGUGCGUAGGCGGCCUGUUAAGUCAGGGGUGAAAGACGGUAGCUCAACUAUCGCAGUGCCCUUGAUACUGAUGGGCUUGAAUGUACUAGAGGUAGGCGGAAUGUGACAAGUAGCGGUGAAAUGCAUAGAUAUGUCACAGAACACCAAUUGCGAAGGCAGCUUACUACGGUAUGAUUGACGCUGAGGCACGAAAGCGUGGGGAUCAAACAGG
rnacentral:rRNA from 1 species